rnacentral:rRNA from 1 species
GUACCCUGACUGUGCUAAGGUAGUAUAAUCACUUGUUUUUUAAUUGAAAGCUUGUAUGAAUGGCUUGACGCAGGUAAAGCUGUCUCUUUUAUAUUAAAUAAAAAUUAAUCUUUAAGUGCAGAAGCUUAAAUAAAACCAAAAGACGAAAAGACCCUAUCGAGCUUAAAAAUUACAAUUAAAUUAAAUUUGUAGAAAAAUAAUUUUUAAUUAAUUUUUUUUGUUGGGGCGACAAAAGAACAAAUAAAGCUUCUUUUUAUUACCUAAAUUUAUAAAUUUAUAGAUCCAUAAUUUAUGACUAAAAGAAAUAGCUACCGUAGGGAUAACAGCGUUAUUUUUUCAAAGAGUUCUUAUCGAAGAAAAAGUUUGCGACCUCGAUGUUGGAUUAAAGUAACUUUUAAGUGCAGAAGCUUAAAAAGUGGGUCUGUUCGACCCUUAAACCUUU